GAUGAAGAACGCAGCGAAAUGCGAUAAGUAGUGUGAAUUGCAGAAUUCAGUGAAUCAUCGAAUCUUUGAACGCACAUUGCGCCCCUUGGUAUUCCAUGGGGCAUGCCUGUUCGAGCGUCAUUUGUACCUUCAAGCUUUGCUUGGUGUUGGGUGUUUGUCCCGAGGGACUCGCCUUAAAGUAAUUGGCAGCCAGUGUUUGGUUUUGAAGCGCAGCACAAGUCGCGAUUCAAGGUUACACGCCCGCUUCCACAAGCCUUUUUUCACUUUUGACCUCGGAUCAGGUAGGGAUACCCGCUGAACUUAAGCAUAUCAAUAAGCGGAGGA
rnacentral:misc_RNA from 1 species